GUGCUCGCUUCAGCAGCACAUAUACUAAAAUUGGAAUGAUGCAGAUAAGAUUAGCAAGGCCCCUGGUCAAAGAUGACAAGCAAAUUCGUGAAGCAGUCCAUAUUUUU
rnacentral:snRNA from 1 species